AUUAAAGUGGGUAGAGUAAAAGAUCUCAUUAGAAGUAAUUUCAUCGUUUCUUUUCACUGUUUAACAUAGGACUGUCAGAAAAACGUGAAAUUGUGCACGAGGCUCACGUCUGUGGCUUGCGGUAUGUUUUUAUCGGGUAAUGCGGCUCCAGAGAGUAAUCAUCAGUCUGGAUGGUUCCUAAAGUGAGGACGUCAAAAACGUGGACCAGAUCCUACAGCCAAUUGACGAUGGUGGCAUGACGUGAGCAAGUAAUACACGUUUGCUGUUUCACGCCUCUGGGGCUUGGGGUUGCUUGUUCUUGCCGUAUUGUUGCCCUCACCAUCCUGAUUGGGGUCGACGUGGAAAAAGAAAGGCAAACAGAAGGGAGCAUCCCGAAUAUUUUAUCCUCCGAAAUGUCCCCGAACGUCCACUUGGCUUCUUUAGACUCUUCAUCUCCAUGACCAACAAUCAGAAAUACGAGAAUCUUUUAGGAUUUUCCUAAAAGAUCCUUUUAAACGGACUCUGGUCUCAUCGUCAUUCAGAAGGACAAUGGCAACUCCAACAUCACUGUGCGGAUUUUUCUUUUUUGUCUAUGUCCCGACACCCAAGGAAGACCACUUUCUGGUUGUGUCGUCUUUGUAAAUGAGGUCAACAGAGGUCAGAAGACUCGUGCCCCAGUCGGGACAUUUGCUUCCUGCCACAGUGACCCUUGGAUAAACAGCCCGCUCUUUCAGAGACGUGUGCCUCAAAGAAGUUGACUGGACAAACUUUAAUUGACCAUCUCCUGCGGGGUUAUGCGGGCACAGAAAGGUCAAGACUCCAUCAGGCUCUCUGGGACUCAGCAUCUGUUUAUAAAGAUUAAUGCUCAUGAACUGCACAGAUGAUCACUGUGAUGAGAUUAUUUUUCCAUUUGCAGAAAAUCUCUUAACAAGUAAGAAAGUGGAGACAUUAAGGAAAGUCUAGAAAACUGACUUGAGGCUUGAUUUGUGCCAAAUGAACAACAAAAGAAUUUGAGCUUCUCUCUUUCCUUGUAGGCAAGUGGUUUAUUAGAGGGAGACUGGACAGAGGGAGCUUGUAGGACUGGGACUCAAAGGACAGGGAAAUCAGUUGGGGACUAUUGUAGCCUCUCUGUAUGGGAGGGGAUAGUGGGUGGGUGGCAGAGACAAGGAUGAGCACGGCUAUGUCAAAGGAAGAAUCCACAGAUGGUAGAGACUGAGUAAGACGGUGAGCAUUAGGAGGUACUCGGGGAGAACUGUAGGGUCUUGGUCCUGGGAGGAGAGCAGUUCCUUAAUAGAAAAAG
rnacentral:lncRNA from 1 species